rnacentral:lncRNA from 1 species
AUGAUACAUCUCAACUUCAACAAAGAAGUCAAACUAUAUGUUGUGGGAAGCUUACUCACCCAUCCUUCAAAGGCCUUUCCUGAAGCACAAUGCAAGCUGGAAGGAGCAUACCAUACAUUCGCUGUAGCAUUUUGUUUUUUUUCCCCGAUAUACCUCUUAGUUGCUCAAGGAACACAAAGCAGGAGGAGUUGGACCCAAAUAAAUAAGAGCAGAUAUAAAGAGACAACGUGGAAUAUAAUCAUUGCUUGAAAAAAAAAAAGUAAACUAAAUUCUGAGUAGAAGGGUUUAAUUUGUUUUUCUUUCUUUUUAUUGUGAAUGUUGUAUUUUAAGCAGCCAGUCAAGAGAUGGUUUAUUAGGUGUGAGAAUGUGGAGAAUUAUCUAGAUAGUUUAUGAAUUUGUUCUGAUUUAGACGACUGCGUACCUGAAUGUGCCAGAUUGCAAACUGUAUUUUGAAUGUGGGAUUUAUUUGCCUUCUCUGUCUCUUCCUUCUGUGUUGGACUGAAAUUCCUAGGUGGAUGACACAGAGCUAACAAUGAAGUAUCAAUAUAUCUUUUUGGUUGUUCUUUCACAUGAAAGCUUUCUUGGAGAAAAUGUUGGACUUUUUUCCAGGUCAAAGCGGUUUUUUUUUCUUCAAAUUUGAACUCCAGAGAGGAAGUAACAAGGCAAUAGAUCCCCUAAUGAAGCUGAUCAAAGAGUCACCUGACAAAGAGGAAUGAAGCUUAUAAAAGAAAAUGUAUCAGACCAGUCAUCUUGGAGAUGGGAAUGGCAUUGACUGCAGGGGUCAGAGAAGGAAGGAAAGGCUCCGUGAUUCAGAAGAGAAGCCGCAGAGGAAGGAUUCUGGAUGUGAACUCUGACCUAAACCCACAAAAUGCUUCAGUGGUGAGAUAACCAAAGCAGGGAGUUACAGAUCUAUACAUACAUCAUAUAAUUUUGUCUAGAUCUGGAUAUUUUUGUGCUAUCUAAAGUAAAGACUGAAUGGCUUGGGAACGUUUGCAAGUCUAUGUUACUCUUUGCGUCUGUAUUUGCCUGUACAAGUGAACUGGAAAUCAGAUGGUUGGCUAAGCUACUACUUCUGGGGAUUUUAUGGUACCUGAUACUAGUCACAGGGUCUAGGCAGUUGGAUCAUGGAGUUAGGUUGGAAAGGGAUAUGAGAAAGAGGCUUUGCCACCCCCAUGAGUAAAAUCUAUUGAAAAAAAACCUAGAGGGAAUAGUUACUGAGGAAACUCAAAAACUUACAGCCCUAGCAUGU